rnacentral:rRNA from 1 species
AUGCACGCUGGCGGCGUGCUUCACACCUGCAAGUCGAACGAAGCACUUUAUUUGAUUUCCUUCGGGACUGAUUAUUUUGUGACUGAGUGGCGGACGGGUGAGUAACGCGUGGGUAACCUGCCUUGUACAGGGGGAUAACAGUUGGAAACGGCUGCUAAUACCGCAUAAGCGCACAGCAUCGCAUGAUGCAGUGUGAAAAACUCCGGUGGUAUAAGAUGGACCCGCGUUGGAUUAGCUAGUUGGUGAGGUAACGGCCCACCAAGGCGACGAUCCAUAGCCGACCUGAGAGGGUGACCGGCCACAUUGGGACUGAGACACGGCCCAAACUCCUACGGGAGGCAGCAGUGGGGAAUAUUGCACAAUGGGCGAAAGCCUGAUGCAGCGACGCCGCGUGAGCGAAGAAGUAUUUCGGUAUGUAAAGCUCUAUCAGCAGGGAAGAUAAUGACGGUACCUGACUAAGAAGCACCGGCUAAAUACGUG